rnacentral:rRNA from 1 species
GACGACGGGGUAGCCCGGCCUGAGGAGGGCCGACCCGGCCCACCACUGGGGACUGAAGACACCGGCCCCAGACUCCUUACGGGAAGGCAGCAGUUGGGGAAUAUUGCACAAAUGGGCGGAAGCCUGAUGCAGCGACGCCGCGUGAGGGAUGACGGCCUUUCGGGUUGUAAACCUCUUUCAGCAGGGAAGAAGCCGUAAAAACGUGACGGUACCUGCAGAAGAAGCACCGGCUAACUACGUGCCAGCAGCCGCGGUAAUACGUAGGGUGCGAGCGUUGUCCGGAAUUAUUGGGCGUAAAGAGCUCGUAGGCGGCUUGUCGCGUCGGAUGUGAAAGCCCGGGGCUUAACCCUGGGUCUGCAUUCGAUACGGGCAGGCUAGAGUUCGGUAGGGGAGAUCGGAAUUCCUGGUGUAGCGGUGAAAUGCGCAGAUAUCAGGAGGAACACCGGUGGCGAAGGCGGAUCUCUGGGCCGAUACUGACGCUGAGGAGCGAAAGCAUGGGGAGCGAACAGGAUUAGAUACCCUGGUAGUCCAUGCCGUAAACGUUGGGCACUAG